rnacentral:lncRNA from 1 species
UUUUACUCAGAUCAGUGUUGGGUGUCAUCUGUCCCCCUCUGCAUGGUAAGCACCACAAGGACAAAGGCUUUGUUUGGUCCUCUACCGUUUCCCUGUCAACUGGGCCAGCAUCUGACACCUGGCAGUUCUUGGGAAAUACCUGCACACGAAUGGAGGCAAGGCCUCUCUCCAGAGGAGGACGCUGAAGAGGUGAAAAGUGAGCCUCCUGCUCUCCCUUUGAGGCAAUUUGGCAUAGCCUGGGUUCUCAGAUCAGACGGAAGUGGGUUCAGUUCUUGGCUCGGAGCGACCUUAGACCGCUGGUUGAAAUCCUUCUGGGCCUGUUCCUGCCUCUGGACAGUGGGAAUGUACUGAGACUACCUCUCAGGAUUGCACAGCACUGAGUGCUGGAGAUGCAAGAAUCCAUCCAACCAACGCAGGCAGAUGGCAACAAGUGCCAGGAGGAACACACAUCAGGGCAAGGGGAGAGGCGUCCCUGGCUGUGGCUGGCGAAGGGUAAUGGCAAGUGUCUCAUUGAACAUGGAGCCGUGUGGGCAUUUGAGUCCCGGAAGGGGCCAGCCUGGGAGUCCUGAGUCUCUUGUGGUGACCAACAUAAAUAAAGAUAAAGGUGCUUCUGCUUCCUCUUCCCUUCCUGGGCAAGUCAGCCUUAAAGCUGUCGAGUGGGUCAGAACAAGGUCGGCAUCUGUGCAGGGAGAGGGAAGCACAGUCGCCCAAGGGGGUCAGAGUCCAAGCAGGACGACAAGGGUGUCCCUGCAAGAUGGUAGCCUGGCCUGGAGCGUCUGAGGCUGAUGGCAGGUGUCAGGGACCCAGCCGGAGGAGGAAGGCAUGCAUUUGUGCAGGCUGUGAGCCUGGAGACGCAGGGUCUGAGCAGGGAGGAGGUGGUCCCCAUGGAAGGGUGGCCAGGCAUGGGUAUCAGCCCCAGCAGGGUGAGGAGAACAUCCGCUCGUAGGGCAGCCUGGUGUAGGAGGAAGAGAACCUCCACGAAGGGGCGUCUGAGCCCGAGGAGCGUGAGCAGGGCAACACGUGGG